UGCUUAUGCAUUGUGGUACUUGCCUUGGUUGAGAAAUUUUUGCUUCCUGCAUACACAUCCAGGGACAAGUUGAGAGAAAGAAAGAGGGUUCGCUCGCUGUGAAAGCCAGGACAUUGACAGUAAUGUUACCAUCUAGUACAACCAAAAUAAUAGUUAUUCUAUAGAGGAGAAGGUUUAACUUUCGAUUGCACGGACGAACAUUUUUUUUACGCAUUCACUAGCCAAACUGUUCACGCACAACGUAGGUUUUGCAACGAAGAGGCAGAGGGAAAAGAAGACAGGCUAUUAAACCCGUUCGUUUGAAACCCUUUUUUAGCUAACAUACCUCCGUGAUGUCGGAGCGAGGAGGGCUCCCGCGGACUGGAGGUGCCCCCUCCCCGCACGUGCAGCCCUCCAAACCGGUCACGAUCACCUCGAAUCGCCCGGUCCACAUGAACCUCUACGCCACCUGGGAAGUGGACCGCUCUUCGCCAAGCUGUGUGCCGAGAUCAACGGCCAGACCGAACGGGCCAACCAAGAGAUGGAGACUGCCCUACGCUGUGUGACUUCUGCUAACCCUUCCUCCUGGAGCUACCCUGGGUUGAAUAUGCCGACAACACCCUCAUCAAUGCCUCGUCAGGAACAUCUGCGCCGUUGUCACCGUACCUGGAGGAAGGCCCGAGCUGCCCUUUUCGUGCCUCUGACAGGACCCAGUCCCAAGCCAACUGUCGCUGGGCCUCAGCUCCAGUCUACCCCCCAGGUCAAAAGGUAUGCUUCUCAUCGAAGGACCUGCCAUUGAAGGUGGCACCGAAGAAA